GCGGAUGGCUGGAUGGCCGCGUGCCCUUGCAAAAGGGUGCGAGGAAAGUCCGGACUCCCAGAAACAACGGUGCCGGGUAACGCCCGGGCGGGGCAACCCGACGGAAAGCGCCACAGAGAACAGACUGCCUUAGCCGGUCGCUUGCGAUCGGCAAUGGUGAGGGUGAAACGGUGCGGUAAGAGCGCACCGCGCCCCCGGCAACGGGGGUGGCACGGCAAGCCCCACCGGGAGCAAUGCCGAAUAGGGAUUUCAAGGGGUUUCCCCAGGGCCGUUUCUGCCCCGAAAUCCGGGUAGGCAGCUUGACCCUGUCGGCAACGGCAGGGCCAGAGGAAUGGUCAUCCAUCCGUGACGGGCAACCGGAGCGGAGGACAAAAUCCGGCUUACAGGCCGUCCGCGCAA
rnacentral:RNase_P_RNA from 1 species